GGAUUUGUGGCCUAGUGGAUAACACGGAUGACUGUCAAGCACAAGACCGGGGUUCGACUCCCCGCUGUCA